rfam:Dipodomys ordii contig_59437, whole genome shotgun sequence.
GGGAAUGUGGCUUAGUGGUAGAGUGCUUGCCUAGAAAGCAUGAAGCCCUGGGUUCGAUUCCUCAGCACCA